rnacentral:lncRNA from 1 species
CUCUGCGCGGCGCUCCGCGGGACCCUUUGCUGCGCGGGGCCGUGCGCUGUCAGUCCGGAUCGGUCUGCGUUUUAUCGACCGCGUCUCUUGGGGGGAGGAGGGGGGGGCGGGGAGGAAGAGGAGGAUUUGCUCUGCCUCUGAAGCCCUCCUUGGGUUUAUCUGCAUCGUUUUGCUCGAGUCCAGCGGGAGCGGCCGCCUUACCGCCGUGCAGGUCUCUGUCUGCACAGUUUUGCUUGGGGAAGUCCACUCGUAGCACGCAGCGCGCCGUCCGGGCCCGGCUGCCGCCGGCAUACGGCGCUGCUGGGUCAGAGGCACCGCACCCUGCGCCUCUCCGGCCACGGACACGCAGCCCCGAGCGCUGGCGCGGUGUUAACUGCCAGCCUAAGGACUGGGUGGUUCGCCCCCCCCCGCUUCCCCCCUUCUCCCCUCUCUUCUUCCAGAAGGAGAUUCACGGAGAAAGUCUCCGAUGAACUUCUACGGCCGCUUUACAGUCUCGCGUCGUUUAUGGCAUGGAGUAAAGGAACCCGCGUGCACGCAGGGUCCAGUGGCGGAGCGGGAAAGCGGAGGGCUCUGUCUUUUGGAGCCAACAGUUUUUCAGGGGUCGUGACUACGAGGCAGCUCUCCGAGUCGGCUCCAAAGGGAGGGAGGAAGGAACGCAGGGAGGGUCACUACACUGAGGCUUUCCCACGGUCGCUCCACCACCUCCUUAACACCGGGAUAACGAAACACCCGUGGAGAGAGGAGCAAGAGUUACCAAGUCCUGUUGAGAAUACAUGA